CAGGCUUAACACAUGCAAGUCGAGGGGCAGCAUGGUCUUAGCUUGCUAAGGCCGAUGGCGACCGGCGCACGGGUGAGUAACACGUAUCCAACCUGCCGUCUACUCUUGGACAGCCUUCUGAAAGGAAGAUUAAUACAAGAUGGCAUCAUGAGUCCGCAUGUUCACAUGAUUAAAGGUAUUCCGGUAGACGAUGGGGAUGCGUUCCAUUAGAUAGUAGGCGGGGUAACGGCCCACCUAGUCUUCGAUGGAUAGGGGUUCUGAGAGGAAGGUCCCCCACAUUGGAACUGAGACACGGUCCAAACUCCUACGGGAGGCAGCAGUGAGGAAUAUUGGUCAAUGGGCGAGAGCCUGAACCAGCCAAGUAGCGUGAAGGAUGACUGCCCUAUGGGUUGUAAACUUCUUUUAUAAAGGAAUAAAGUCGGGUAUGGAUACCCGUUUGCAUGUACUUUAUGAAUAAGGAUCGGCUAACUCCGUGCCAGCAGCCGCGGUAAUACGGAGGAUCCGAGCGUUAUCCGGAUUUAUUGGGUUUAAAGGGAGCGUAGAUGGAUGUUUAAGUCAGUUGUGAAGGUUUGCGGCUCAACCGUAAAAUUGCAGUUGAUACUGGAUAUCUUGAGUGCAGUUGAGGCAGGCGGAAUUCGUGGUGUAGCGGUGAAAUGCUUAGAUAUCACGAAGAACUCCGAUUGCGAAGGCAGCCUGCUAAGCUGCAACUGACAUUGAGGCUCGAAAGUGUGGGUAUCAAACAGGAUUAGAUACCCUGGUAGUCCACACGGUAAACGAUGAAUACUCGCUGUUUGCGAUAUACAGCAAGCGGCCAAGCGAAAGCGUUAAGUAUUCCACCUGGGGAGUACGCCGGCAACGGUGAAACUCAAAGGAAUUGACGGGGGCCCGCACAAGCGGAGGAACAUGUGGUUUAAUUCGAUGAUACGCGAGGAACCUUACCCGGGCUUAAAUUGCAGAUGAAUUACGGUGAAAGCCGUAAGCCGCAAGGCAUCUGUGAAGGUGCUGCAUGGUUGUCGUCAGCUCGUGCCGUGAGGUGUCGGCUUAAGUGCCAUAACGAGCGCAACCCUUGUUGUCAGUUACUAACAGGUUCCGCUGAGGACUCUGACAAGACUGCCAUCGUAAGAUGUGAGGAAGGUGGGGAUGACGUCAAAUCAGCACGGCCCUUACGUCCGGGGCUACACACGUGUUACAAUGGGGGGUACAGAGGGCCGCUACCACGCGAGUGGAUGCCAAUCCCCAAAACCUCUCUCAGUUCGGACUGGAGUCUGCAACCCGACUCCACGAAGCUGGAUUCGCUAGUAAUCGCGCAUCAGCCACGGCGCGGUGAAUACGUUCCCGGGCCUUGUACACACCGCCCGUCAAGCCAUGGGAGCCGGGGGUACCUGAAGUGCGUAACCGCGAGGAGCGCCCUAGGGUAAAACUGGUGACUG
rnacentral:rRNA from 1 species